GACACUUCUCGGGUGACGCACCACGGAAUUGGACUCCCUCCUCUCUGGUUCUGGGUACGUCACCCGAUAACUGCA
rfam:Myotis lucifugus cont2.7666, whole genome shotgun sequence.